AUACGGAGGGGGCGAGCGUUAUUCGGUAUUAUUGGGCGUAAAGGGCGCGUAGGCGGCCUGGGAAGUCUUGGGUGAAAGCCCUCAGCUCAACUGGGGAAUGGCCUGAGAAACCACUGGGCUGGAGUGCUGGAGAGGGAAGCGGAAUUCCCGGUGGAGCGGUGAAAUGCGUAGAUAUCGGGAGGAACACCAGAGGCGAAGGCGGCUUCCUGGACAGACACUGACGCUGAGGCGCGAAAGCUAGGGGAGCAAACGGGAUUAGAAACCCCAGUAGUCC
rnacentral:rRNA from 1 species